GAGGGAAAACCCGUUGAGAUUGCUGUCUACACUAAGGUCUCUGAGUUCUUUGAUGAAGAGAAGUACCCCGAACUAGGGGCUACUGGCGCUUAUGCCUCGUAUGAGAAACACGAGGUAAAGAAAGACUCAGAACAUGCUUAUUUAUAGUCACAAGAUAGAAGAGGAAGGUGCUGAGUUGCCGUCGAUGAGAAAUAUGAGAAGAAAGAGGCCAAGAAGUAGGAUGAAGAAGCUUAAUUAUGAAAGGAAGCAACACAAUCUUUUUUAAUAAAGUAUGUGU
rnacentral:misc_RNA from 1 species